UUUUGACCCACUAUAGCAAGUUUUUAAAAAAAAAAUCAAAAAACAUAUUUUCUUAAUUAAGCAUUUAUUUUUAAUUAAUUAAAAAAGAAAACAUUUAUCCUUAAUCUUAAUCUGUUCCUCUUCCUCUUUAUCAAAAAAAAAAAAUCUGUUCCUCUUCUCUCUCCCCCUUCAUCACCUCUUCUCUCUUUGUCUUCCCCACAGACCUUUCUCCUUCAUCUCCUCUGUUAUUCUCACCAACAACCCAAAAAAAUCUAGAUCUAAAAAAAAAAAAAAACCACCCAACCGCACCGGCCUUCGCCGUUGGGGCUGCAUCUCUGUGGGUGGCCUUCGCCGUUAAGCUGCAUCUCCCUCUUGAUCUGGAUCUCGUUCAACAGCCGUGGGUCGAGAAAGAAGAUCUGAGGGUGAUAUGGAUUUUGGAGAGAAGAGGCGUGACGGCGGUGGCAGAGAGAAGAAGCCCAUCGCACCCCAUCCCACCCUCACCCCCAACCCCGCCAAGAAACUAAGCCCAAAAACCCAACCCAUAACCAAAGAGAAGAUGAAGGAGCAAAAAUCAGAGGUGCGAGAAGGAGAGCGAUGGAGUGACUGCAGAAGAUUCGUCGCACAGAUCUGGUUCCCAUCAGAUGGAGCGAUAGAGUUAAAAAGCAAAUGUGCAACUAUGCACAAGUUUUUAGAGGUGUAUAAUAAAUUCCUCCGUCUGGGUGGGUUGCCGCUACUUGCUCCAGCAACUUGCAAGAAUAAAAUAUUAUCUUUUUUUUUGAAAACAAGAAUAAAAUAUUAUCAAUUUUCCUGACCAACUUGCAAGAACGAAGAACCUACCCCUUGCUAUUAAAAUAUUAUUAUUAAUUUGCUCGACCAACUUACAAGAACCUACCCCCCUUGCUAUUAAAAUAAUCUUUUUUGCUUGUCUAAAUUUCUUAUAAAUUUUUCUACAAAUCAAAUUUCCUUAAAAAAUCACGAGAAAUAUCAAAUAUUCUCAUGAAGUUUUACCCAGAAAAAAUUUGUAGCAAAAAUUUAUAAGAAAAUUUAUUCAUCAAUUUUUCUAUAGAUUCCUCCUACUGUUUUUCCAAAUUUUUCUACAACUUCUUUUGUGAAUUUUCAUCCAGAUUUUUCAAUAGAUUUUCCUAUGGUCCAACACAAUAUAUUUGCUAUCGAUUUUCCUAUCACUUUCUACCUAUCAAGUAAUAACUACAGAAAAAAUAGUAAUAUAUACCUACAGAAUUUUGUGUGGGUUUAUGUACUAUAAUUUUUUCAAUUUUUCUUAAAAGAUAAAAUUGAUUGCUAAAUUAAAAAAGUUUAAUAGGUAUGCUCACAUUCACACCAAUCAAAAUCAAAUAAAUUGACACAUGAUUAUCAGAGUUUUGAAUAUUAUUUAAAAAUAUUAAAAUGAUUUCACCCAGAAACGUAACUGUCAUCAGACUUGUGGUUCCUGUCCAUUGAUGUCUUUUGCCACCGGACGAUGAUGUUGCAGGCGAGGCCGUGAUUCAGAUGGUGGGAGUGAUGUUAGAUUUAUUUAUAAUUAACUAUCUCUAUUGUUUGUUAUGUGGGUUAACAUUAUCAAUUAACUAAGAUAUAUUUUGUUUUGGUUAUUAAUAUCAAUUAUGUGAAUUAUUAAUUUAA